rnacentral:rRNA from 1 species
UACGUAGGGUGCGAGCGUUAAUCGGAAUUACUGGGCGUAAAGCGUGCGCAGGCGGUUCGUUGUGUCGGCGGUGAAAGCCCCGGGCUCAACCUGGGAAUGGCCGUUGAAACUGGCGAACUGGAGUGUGGCAGAGGGGGGUGGAAUUCCCGGUGUAGCGGUGAAAUGCGUAGAGAUCGGGAGGAACAUCAGUGGCGAAGGCGGCCAUCUGGGACAACACUGACGCUGAAGCACGAAAGCGUGGGGAGCAAACAGG